GAUGAACGCUGGCGGCGUGCCUAAUACAUGCAAGUCGAGCGAACAGAUGAGGAGCUUGCUCCUCUGACGUUAGCGGCGGACGGGUGAGUAACACGUGGAUAACCUACCUAUAAGACUGGGAUAACUUCGGUAAACCGGAGCUAAUACCGGAUAAUAUAUUGAACCGCAUGGUUCAAUAGUGAAAGACGGUUUUGCUGUCACUUAUAGAUGGAUCCGCGCCGCAUUAGCUAGUUGGUAAGGUAACGGCUUACCAAGGCAACGAUGCGUAGCCGACCUGAGAGGGUGAUCGGCCACACUGGAACUGAGACACGGUCCAGACUCCUACGGGAGGCAGCAGUAGGGAAUCUUCCGCAAUGGGCGAAAGCUUGACGGAGCAACGCCGCGUGAGUGAUGAAGGUCUUCGGAUCGUAAAACUCUGUUAUUAGGGAAGAACAAAUGUGUAAGUAACUAUGCACGUCUUGACGGUACCUAAUCAGAAAGCCACGGCUAACUACGUG
rnacentral:rRNA from 1 species